GCAUCAAUGGGGUAGUGGUAACCUGGGUCGUUGCCAUUUGUCGUCGAUCAGAUCGAGUGUUUCGACCCGCCGGGGGUUCGAUUCCCUCUUGAUGCA